ACGGGAGGCAGCAGUGAGGAAUAUUGGACAAUGGAUGGAAGUCUGAUCCAGCCAUGCCGCGUGAAGGAUUGAUGCCCUACGGGUUUUGAACUUCUUUUGUACGGGGGCAAUAAGGUCCACGGGUGGACCGAUGAGAGUACCGUACGAAUAAGCAUCGGCUAACUCCGUGCCAGCAGCCGCGGUAAUACGGAAGGUCCGGGCGUUAUCCGGAUUUAUUGGGUUUAAAGGGAGCGUAGGCCGUGCUUUAAGCGUGUUGUGAAAUGUAGGCGCCCAACGUCUGCACUGCAGCGCGAACUGGAGCACUUGAGUACGCAGGAAGUAGGCGGAAUUCGUCGUGUAGCGGUGAAAUGCUUAGGUAUGACGAAGAACUCCGAUUGGGAAGCCAGCUUACUGUUGCGCCACUGACGCUGAUGCUCGAAGGCGUGGGUAUCGAACAGGAUUAGAUACCCUGGUA
rnacentral:rRNA from 1 species